rnacentral:rRNA from 1 species
AGCGAACGCUGGCGGCAGGCUUAACACAUGCAAGUCGAGCGGGCGUAGCAAUACGUCAGCGGCAGACGGGUGAGUAACGCGUGGGAACAUACCCUUUUGGUUCGGAACAACACAGGGAAACUUGUGCUAAUACCGGAUAAGCCCUUACGGGGAAAGAUUUAUCGCCGAAAGAUUGGCCCGCGUCUGAUUAGCUAGUUGGUGAGGUAAUGGCUCACCAAGGCGACGAUCAGAGCUGGUCUGAGAGGAUGAUCAGCCACAUUGGGACUGAGACACGGCCCAAACUCCUACGGGAGGCAGCAGUGGGGAAUAUUGGACAAUGGGCGCAAGCCUGAUCCAGCCAUGCCGCGUGAGUGAUGAAGGCCCUAGGGUUGUAAAGCUCUUUUGUGCGGGAAGAUAAUGACGGUACCGCAAGAAUAAGCCCCGGCUAACUUCGUGCCAGCCGCCGCUGUAAG